rnacentral:rRNA from 1 species
CAGGUAGCUUGCUAUGCUGACGACCGGCGCACGGGUGAGUAACGCGUAUACAAUCUGCCUUGUACUGAGGGAUAGCCCAGAGAAAUUUGGAUUAAUACCUCAUAGUAUAUAGUCUCCACCUGGAGAUUAUAUUAAAGGUUACGGUACAAGAUGAGUAUGCGUUCUAUUAGCUAGAUGGUAAGGUAACGGCUUACCAUGGCAACGAUAGAUAGGGGCCCUGAGAGGGGGAUCCCCCACACUGGUACUGAGACACGGACCAGACUCCUACGGGAGGCAGCAGUGAGGAAUAUUGGACAAUGGGCGAGAGCCUGAUCCAGCCAUGCCGCGUGCAGGAUGACUGCCCUAUGGGUUGUAAACUGCUUUUAUACAGGAAGAAACACUCCCUCGUGAGGGAGCUUGACGGUACUGUAAGAAUAAGGAUCGGCUAACUCCGUGCCAGCAGCCGCGGUAAUACGGAGGAUCCAAGCGUUAUCCGGAAUCAUUGGGUUUAAAGGGUCCGUAGGUGGAUAAUUAAGUCAGAGGUGAAAUCCUGCAGCUCAACUGUAGAAUUGCCUUUGAUACUGGUUAUCUUGAGUUAUUAUGAAGUAGUUAGAAUAUGUGGUGUAGCGGUGAAAUGCAUAGAUAUCACAUAGAAUACCAAUUGCGAAGGCAGAUUACUAAUAAUUAACUGACACUGAUGGACGAAAGCGUGGGGAGCGAACAGGAUUAGAUACCCUGGUAGUCCACGCCGUACACGAUGGUUACUAGUUGUUCGAACUUCGGUUUGAGUGACUAAGCGAAAGUGAUAAGUAACCCACCUGGCGAGUACGUUCGCAAGAAUGAAACUCAAAGGAAUUGACGGGGGCCCGCACCAGCGGUGGAGCAUGUGGUUUAAUUCGAUGAUACGCGAGGACCCUUACCAGGGCUUAAAUGUAGAUUGACAGGUUUAGAAAUAGACUUUUCUUCGGACAAUUACAAGGUGCUGCAUGGUUGUCGUCAGCUCGUGGCCUGAGGGGUCAGGUUAAGUCCUAUAACGAGCGCCACCCCCGUUGUUUAUUGCCAGCGAAUCAU